rnacentral:lncRNA from 1 species
CUCAGUUAUUUUCUCUUUAACAAACAAUAAUAUCAAAAUGCUUAGAACGUGAAGAACUUCUAGUAUUUCAAGAGAAAGCAACUAUUGCAGAAUCGUCACAAAAUAUCUUCAAUGGCCUCGAAAUGGUGUUCACAACACCUAGCCCCAAGAUAAAGUUCUGCAACCAUAUAGCCUGACAUGUAGUCUCAUAACAAGUAACAUACUCUGCCUCCAUUGUAGAGGAAGCUAUAAGUGACUGUUUGACACUUUUUCAAGAUAUAGCUCCUUCUGCCAUCAUAAAAACAUAACCAGAAGUAGAUCUUCUAUCAUCUAAACAACCUGCAAAAUGGGCAUCAGAAUAUCCAACUAUAUCAAGAAUGUCAGAUCGUCGAUAUGUUAGCAUUAGAUCUUUAGUGCCUUGCAAGUACCUAAGUACUUUCUUUGCAGCUUUCCAGUGAGUCAAACCAGGAACACUCAAGUAUCUCCCAAGUACACCAACAACAUAAGCAAUGUCAGGCCGUGUACAUACUUGAGCAUACAUUAAACUACCAACAAUUGAAGAAUAGGGAAUUGUUUGCAUUUGAGUCCUCUCAUUAUCAUCCUUAGGGCAUUGAGACUUAGAAAAUUUAUCACCUUUCACAAUAGGUGCUUUUCCAGGAGAACAAGAAUGCAUAUUAAACUUACUCAAAACUCAAUCAAUGUAGGUUUUCUGAGACAAUCCAAGAACGCCUUUGGAUCUAUCACGAAAAAUUUGAAUCCCCAAAACAUAAGAGGCCUCACCAAGAUCCUUCAUAUCAAAAUGAG